AGAGUUUGAUCAUGGCUCAGGAUGAACGCUAGCGACAGGCUUAACACAUGCAAGUCGAGGGGCAGCGAGGGAGUGGCAACACUUCUGUCGGCGACCGGCGCACGGGUGAGUAACGCGUAUGCAACCUGCCCUUCACAGGGGGAUAACCGGGAGAAAUUCCGACUAAUACCGCAUACGUCCUCCGGGGGCAUCCCCGGGGGAUGAAAGAGUUAUCGGUGAAGGAUGGGCAUGCGUGAUAUUAGGUAGUUGGCGGGGCAACGGCCCACCAAGCCCACGAUAUCUAGGGGUUCUGAGAGGAAGGUCCCCCACAUUGGUACUGAGACACGGACCAAACUCCUACGGGAGGCAGCAGUGAGGAAUAUUGGUCAAUGGACGAGAGUCUGAACCAGCCAAGUCGCGUGAAGGAAGACGGAUCUAUGGUUUGUAAACUUCUUUAGUGCGGGAACAAAGCGGCGUCGUGACGCCGGAUGAGUGUACCGCAAGAAUAAGCAUCGGCUAACUCCGUGCCAGCAGCCGCGGUAAUACGGAGGAUGCGAGCGUUAUCC
rnacentral:rRNA from 1 species